CCCGGCCCCCGCCCCGCCGUAGCCGCCGCCGCCUGCCGCGCCCCUCCUGCUGCUGCUGCUGCUGCCGCCGUUCGCACCUCAACGAGGACACCGGCCGCUUCGUGCUGCUGGCGGCGCUCAUCGGCCUCUACCUGGUGGCGGGUGCCACAGUCUUCUCGGCGCUCGAGAGCCCCGGCGAGGCGGAGGCGCGGGCGCGCUGGGGCGCCACGCUGCGCAACUUCAGCGCUGCGCACGGCGUGGCCGAGCCAGAGCUGCGCGCCUUCCUCCGGCACUACGAGGCCGCGCUGGCCGCCGGCGUCCGCGCCGACGCGCUGCGCCCGCGCUGGGACUUCCCCGGCGCCUUCUACUUCGUGGGCACCGUGGUGUCAACCAUAGAUCUCCAGAAUUAUAGUGACAGUGGGGAGAAGGAGGGAAUGACCCAUCCCCCAUCCUGAGCUUGCUAGCCCAGCUCCUGGAAGAUCAGCCCCUGGGCAGUGCCAGCCUGCAUGACCGUCCUGAUCCCCGACUCUGCCCUUUCUCCCAAAGAGCCAACAGAGCACAUGUCUUGGAGAAGACCCCCUAUCACCUUCUAGGUUGUCUUGCCACAGAACGGGAGCACCCAGCAAUACAGCAGAGCUUCCCACGGGUUUCUACAGUGUCUUCAGAGACCCGCAAGGAGGGUCAGCCCUUGUGGAGUCUCUGACCCAAAUUCUGACAUUACCUCUAUGACUUAUUCACAAAGUGACCUCACACUGCACUUUUCUGAGCCUCAGAUUGUGCAUCUAAAAACCGAGGAUAAUGCUUACCUCACUAGGAGGUUGUGAAGAAAUGUAAAUAAACCGUGUGUGAAAAUG
rnacentral:sRNA from 1 species